rnacentral:misc_RNA from 1 species
CCUUAUCAUUUAGAGGAAGGAGAAGUCGUAACAAGGUUUCCGUAGGUGNACCUGCGGAAGGAUCAUUGUCGAAACCUGCCCCGGCAGAACGACCCGCGAACCCGUGGCAUGACAGGGCUCGGGGGGCACCCGCCCCUCGCGUCCACGCGCGCCGUGGAGGGACGCGCCCGCGCCCGACACGGCUCGCCAACGAACCCCGGCGCGAGAAGCGCCAAGGAAAUGGAGUACCAGGAGCACGCCCCCGUAGCCUCGGUGUCGGGGGCGCGCCUUCUUUUUGUGAUAAUCUGAACGACUCUCGGCAACGGAUAUCUCGGCUCUCGCAUCGAUGAAGAACGUAGCGAAAUGCGAUACUUGGUGUGAAUUGCAGAAUCCCGUGAACCAUCGAGUCUUUGAACGCAAGUUGCGCCCGAGGCCUCCUGGUCGAGGGCACGUCUGCCUGGGUGUCACGCAUCGUCGCCCCCGCUCCCCUCGGCUCACGAGGGCGGGGGCGGAUACUGGUCUCCCGCGUGCUCCCGCCCGUGGUUGGCCUAAAAUCGAGUCCCUGGCGACAGUCGCCACGACAAGCGGUGGUUGAGAGACCCUCGGACACGGUCGUGCGCGUGCUUGUCGCCCCCGGGACCUCCCGGACCCCCGAGCAUUGGCUUUCAGGGAUGCUCUCGUUGCGACCCCANGUCAGGCGGGACUACCCGCUGAGUUUAAGCAUAUCAAUAA